AUUGAACGCUGGCGGCAUGCCUUACACAUGCAAGUCGAACGGUAACAGGGAGCUUGCUCCGCUGACGAGUGGCGAACGGGUGAGUAAUGUAUCGGAACGUACCAUUCAGUGGGGGAUAACGUAGCGAAAGUUACGCUAAUACCGCAUAUUCUGUGAGCAGGAAAGCAGGGGAUCGCAAGACCUUGCGCUGAUUGAGCGGCCGAUAUCAGAUUAGCUAGUUGGUGAGGUAAAGGCUCACCAAGGCGACGAUCUGUAGCGGGUCUGAGAGGACGACCAGCCACACUGGAACUGAGACACGGUCCAGACUCCUACGGGAGGCAGCAGUGGGGAAUUUUGGACAAUGGGCGCAAGCCUGAUCCAGCCAUUCCGCGUGCAGGAUGAAGGCCUUCGGGUUGUAAACUGCUUUUGUACGGAACGAAACGGUCUGCCCUAAUACGGCGGGCUAAUGACGGUACCGUAAGAAUAAGCACCGGCUAACUACGUG
rnacentral:rRNA from 1 species